UGGCUCAGGACGAACGCUGGCGGCGUGCUUAACACAUGCAAGUCGAGCGAUGAAGUCCUUCGGGGACGGAUUAGCGGCGGACGAGUGAGUAACACGUGGGUAACCUGCCUCAUAGAGGGGAAUAGCCUUCCGAAAGGAAGAUUAAUACCGCAUAAGAUUGUAGUUUCGCAUGAAACAGCAAUUAAAGGAGUAAUCCGCUAUGAGAUGGACCCGCGUCGCAUUAGCUAGUUGGUGAGGUAACGGCUCACCAAGGCGACGAUGCGUAGCCGACCUGAGAGGGUGAUCGGCCACAUUGGGACUGAGACACGGCCCAGACUCCUACGGGAGGCAGCAGUGGGGAAUAUUGCACAAUGGGGGAAACCCUGAUGCAGCAAACCGCCGCGUGAGUGAUGACGGUCUUCGGAUUGUAAAGCUCUGUCUUCAGGGACGAUAAUGACGGUACCUGAGGAGGAAGCCACGGCUAACUACGUGCCAGCCGCAGC
rnacentral:rRNA from 1 species